GUUAAGUCAAACAGAUUGAUCAACAGAUUUUACUUUUGGAUUUAGAUCUAGAUCUAGGUCUAGAUAACAUCACUCACACCUUGUGAAUAUCUAGCUGUUGUCAUGCCUAAGAAAAACAGAACGGAGCAGCUUUGGAAAGGCGAAGAGGAAGAAGAGGCCAAACUGAGCAAGGACAUGAGCAAGUUGUCCGCCAAUGAUGAGGAGACAGAAGCUGGCCGCAGAUCCAAGAAGAAGG